CCUCUUCUGGCACGCACUGUAUACAUGA
rnacentral:piRNA from 1 species